AACGCACCUUGCGCUCCUUGGUAUUCCGAGGAGCAUGCCUGUUUGAGUGUCAUUAAAUUCUCAACCUUAUUAGCUUUUGUUAAUAAUGGCUUGGAUGUGGGGGUUUCUUUGCUGGCUUCUUAACGAGAUCAGCUCCCCUUAAAUGUAUUAGCUGGUUGCCUUGUGCAGACUGUCUAUUGGUGUGAUAAUUAUCUAUGCCGUGGACUUUCUGUCAAUUAUAUAGCACCGCUUCUAACCGUCUGUUAACUCGGACAAUAUAUGACAAUUUGACCUCAAAUCAGGUAGGACUACCCGCUGAACUUAA
rnacentral:misc_RNA from 1 species